CAGGCGCCUGCGCAUUGUACGCGCACAUGCAUGCACAGCUAGCGCGGGAUAUGCACGCAGCGUGCACAGCUGACACGGGACGUGCGCGUGGCGUGGGGUCAACCCUGUGCGUGUCUGAUGUGCGCAUGCAGGCCAUCUAUGCAUCACCUCGCGUGCAGACAGGUGCCACACACUGUGCACACGCUCUCCGUGCAGCAGACCUGCGCUAAUAGGCCCAUGUGCGCCUGGAGCCUGCGGGCAAUAGGCUUGCGUGCGUAGCACCAAGCACGUCUAGGCCUUGGCCACGCGGUAGGGAGGGCUGUGCGCCUCCAGGCUAGCCUGCAGCGCACCGAGUGGGCCACUGCUGCCUCAAGCAAUGCGCCACCAUCACCUUGGGCGGCGCAUUGCGGCCACUAGCGGAGGAUAUUUUUCUCUCUCAUUUUUUCUUGUCGAGUAUCUUUUUCCUCUCUCUCUUCAGUGAAUUUUGCCACU
rnacentral:lncRNA from 1 species